CCUACGGGAGACAGCAGUGGGGAAUAUUGCACAAUGGGGGAAACCCUGAUGCAGCGACGCCGCGUGAGUGAAGAAGUAUUUCGGUAUGUAAAGCUCUAUCAGCAGGGAAGAAAUAGCGACCUUUGGGUCGCCAGACGGUACCGGAUUAAGAAGCCCCGGCUAACUACGUGCCAGCAGCCGCGGUAAUACGUAGGGGGCACGCGUUAUCCGGAUUUACUGGGUGUAAAGGGGGCGUAGACGGCAGCGCAAGUCUGAAGUGAAAUGCCGGGGCUUAACCCCGGGACUGCUUUGGAAACUGUGCAGCUAGAGUGCAGGAGAGGUAAGUGGAAUUCCUAGUGUAGCGGUGAAAUGCGUAGAUAUUAGGAGGAACACCAGUGGCGAAGGCGGCUUACUGGACUGUAACUGACGUUGAGGCUCGAAAGCGUGGGGAGCAAACAGGAUUAGAUACCCGAGUAGUC
rnacentral:rRNA from 1 species